rnacentral:rRNA from 1 species
CAAAGGAGCAAUCCGCUGAAAGAUGGGCUCGCGUCCGAUUAGGUAGUUGGCGGGGCAACGGCCCACCAAGCCGACGAUCGGUAGCCGGACUGAGAGGUUGAACGGCCACAUUGGGACUGAGACACGGCCCAGACUCCUACGGGAGGCAGCAGUGAGGGAUAUUGGUCAAUGGGGGAAACCCUGAACCAGCAACGCCGCGUGAGGGAAGACGGUUUUCGGAUUGUAAACCUCUGUCCUCUGUGAAGAUGAUGACGGUAGCAGAGGAGGAAGCUCCGGCUAACUACGUGCCAGCAGCCGCGGUAAUACGUAGGGAGCAAGCGUUGUCCGGAUUUACUGGGUGUAAAGGGUGCGUAGGCGGCUUUGCAAGUCAGAAGUGAAAUCCAUGGGCUUAACCCAUGAACUGCUUUUGAAACUGCAGAGCUUGAGUGGAGUAGAGGUAGGCGGAAUUCCCGGUGUAGCGGUGAAAUGCGUAGAGAUCGGGAGGAACACCAGUGGCGAAGGCGGCCUGCUGGGCUCUAACUGACGCUGAGGCACGAAAGCGUGGGUAGCAAACAGGAUUAGACACCCUGGUAGUCCACGCUGUAAACGAUGAUUACUAGGUGUGGGUGGACUGACCCCAUCC